rnacentral:lncRNA from 1 species
CCCCGGGUCACGUCCCUCUGCGCGGUUCCCAGCGGCUCCCAGGAAAGCCUCCCUCGCCGCGCCCUCCAGCUCGAGACGAGCGUUUCAGCGGAGCCCGGAAGAGGAACACAUCUUUAUAAGCCAAUUCCCUUUCUGGUGCGUUUUACCCCCCACCCCCCACCCCUCGAGCGAAUUCACCGUAAAAGUUUUUCUGAACUUUUCCGUCCCGGCCCCCUGCCCCUCCCCUCAGGAAUCCGCCCAGAGCGCUGCAGGCUCCGCCCCCCGGGCCUCCCUCGCCCCGCCCUCCAGACUUCCACCCAAUCCGGAGGCCGCCACACGGAAAACAAAGGCUGCCAUUGGGCCGCCCUGGAGCCCGAGGGCCCGCCCCCGGCGUGGUUUGUGAAUGGGGGGAGGGGAGGGGGCGGGGCGGCCCGGAGCCCCGCGAGCCCGACGCUUCUUCUGGCGAGUUGCGCGACUCCGAGGCGUUACUCUGCGCUCCCUCCCGGCGGGCGGCGGCGGCGGCGGCGGCGGGCGGGCGGGCGCCGGGACACUCGGGCCGGGGCUUCGCGAGGCUGGAGAGGCCAGGCCCAGGCCGCGGGCAGCGGGCCCUCGCGGCUUCGGACGCAGUGCGACUGGAUUUCCAAAACGAACUCGCUGAGCUCUUGGCUGCAAAGCGCCGAUCGGACUCGGAGCGAGGAUCGCCCGCUUGGCAGAAACUUGGGGGCCGAGCUCUCGGGGCUGGAGAAGGAGCGGGGGAGUCGGAAAGGCGGCGGCGGCGGCGGCGGCGGCGGCGGCGGCGAGCAGAGCCUCGAGGCGAGGAGGCGGAGCAGCACCGCCUCGGCGGCGGCCUCGGCUCGCGGGCGGCGGCGCCGGCUCUCGCCCGCCGGGGGCCGGACUCGGCGCGGGGGGCGCGUGCGGAGCCGUGCGCUGUGGGCCGGCCGACUUUGGGCAAACUUUGAAGGGGAACCCGAGACGCUUGUUGCUCCUCGCCGCGGAGAACGCCGCACCGUUACGUCGCCGCGGGAGAAGGCGGCGGCCCCCGUCCGCGCCCCCGGCCCGGGCCGACGAGUCCGGGGCUCCCGGCGGCCGCCCCGCUGCUGGGCGGAGACGGCGGCGGCGCCCCCGCGGCGCGGGCACCCGGGCUGCAGCGCCCUGAGCUCCGCGCCGCCCACGCCCCGGCCGCGGCGCCGGGAGGACUCUCAUGCGCCGGGCGCGGCCGCGCCUCCCCGGAUCCAAGCCUCUCGCGGCCGCGUCGUCGCGCUGCUCGGGCUGAGAGCG